AGUGAGAAAUCCUGGGCUGCCAAACAACUUCAUUGAUCUUGCAAAGCUUUAGCAGCAAAGCCACAAACAAAUGCACCCUCUGAACAGCAGUUUCCUUUAGCUCAGCUGUGCAGAAGGGAUUGCUGGUCAGUGUAGGACCUUGAUUGUCAUCAUUUGGAGCAGACUUGGACAGAAGUCAAGUGUGACAGAUCUGGGAAACUUGGGCUGUUCUAGCAGAGAGAAGGAAUGUUAAGAGGUGUCCAACAACAGAUGAGUAGCUGAGAAAGUUGUGGUAUAUAUGGAAAACUACUGAGUAGUUGUGGAAAACUACUCAACUAUUAAAAAUGGUGAUUUCACCAUUUUCAGCCCAUCGUGGAUGGAGCUUGAAGAAAUCAUGUUAAGCGAAAUAAGUCAGAAACAGAAGGAUGAAUAUGGGAUGAUCUCACCCACAGGCUGAAGUUAAAAAACAAGAUCAGAAGAAAAAUCACUAAGCAGAACCUGGACUGGAGUUGGUGUAUUGCACCAAAGUAAAAGACUCUGGAGUGGGUGGGGAGGAGGGUUCAGGUCCUGGAAAAGGAUGACAGAGGACCUAAUGGGGGUUGUUUUGCUAUGUGGAAAACUGAGAAACGUUAUGCAUGUACAAACUAUUGUAUUUACUGUUGAAUGUAAAACAUUGAUCCCUCAAUAAAGGAAAAAUUAUAUUUAGAA